rnacentral:ncRNA from 2 species
CUCUUAUCAAGAGUGGCAGAGGGACUGGCCCGAUGACGCCCAGCAACCGUUCCGGAAAGGAAUUGGUGCUAAAUCCUGCAAACAAAUUUUUUGUUUGAAAGAUAAGAG